ensembl:lncRNA
GAGCACAACUGGUGUAAAGAGAUGUUGGCAAAGCCUCUCCCAUCUCAUGCCAAAGGAUUCCCAUUCCACAAUAAAGGACGCCCGUGCUGUACCAAAUGAUGCCCAUCCACAGCAGUGUCUGACCCAUUUCCAGCCUGUGCACACCCUGGACAAACUCAAAUAAAGAGAAGAGCAGGAAAGACAGACUCCUGAAUCACCUCUGCUCUUUUCCAGUUGAGAAACCAGAGCACCACAGCAUGGAGCGAUGCGCAGGGCGAGGUGAGAGCACCCAUUGUGAGCACCGGAGCUGCAGGAGAGCCGAGUCCUGUUUUUCAGGAGAAAAGCUGUUUGUAUGGGAUAAACCUCUGAGCUUCUUCUAGAAAACCUUUCCUUGGUUACAGAAAAUGCCUUUCCCAUAACAUCUCACAUGCAGUGGAUGUGGGCUGGGGAAGUCCCUUGCAAGGCAGGUGCACACCUGAAGCCCAGCCUUGGCCUCCAAAUGCCCCCAGCCAAGCUGUUUCCUCAAAUUACCUUAAAGAAAGGCUAUCUUGCUUCUGAAGGUGAACAUCAGGAACCUGCUGCACGCUUCUUCAUGGCCUCAGGGCUGCUCCUCAGGCAGAUCUCCCCAUGGACCUGUCAGAUCAGAAAAGAGCAUGCCUGUGGGAACGAAGGCAAGCUUCUGCCUUCCCAGAUCCUUUCAGUUUCCAGAGCUAAAUGUCUUCCCAAAGGGUAUAGUCCAAACUGAGGCAAGGUGCUGAUGAAGAGCUGUGGUCCCCCUCAGCCCCUCUGAUCCCAGCGUCCUUUCUAAAGGUUGUUCAUCUCCUCCAGCAUCCUCGAAGCGUUUGGCACUGGCCACCUCUUUGGAAAAGGCUGCCAGAUGGAGAUGAAGAGAAGGGGUGUAGCAGUGAAUACCUACCUGAUGAAUUAUCCCCUCUGGGUGAAAGCUGGAGUUUAUCUAGGAUCAUUCCUAGGUCAUUGUUAAGGAUGCCCCAGUGCCUGGUGUUUUACUUGACUCCCUCAUGCAGAAAUUCCCUUCCAUAGCACGUGCAGGAUGCUUUCUCCAACCUGUACUUCAGGGAUGCAAUCUCAUCCAUGUACUACUUUAAUGUACAUAAACACGUAUUGUUCUGCAGGACAAAAGCUGCUGUAUAUUAAUAUCGUUAUCAACAGCUCCCUGUUAUUGCUGCACUUAGUAAUUACGCCUGACGACAUGCUGAAUGACAGAAGUGAAGUUUAAGGUCAACCACGGAAAAAAUUAGCAUCAGCUUCUGCCUCUCCAGGGGAUGGAUGGAAACCACAAAAUGGGUCUCAAAUUUUUGCCACGGAGCCCAACCUUCCUGCACUGUGCUGCUCUGCUCCGCCUCGCACACAAUGUUCUGGCACGAGGCUCUCAUUUGUCUGAUUUAAGAAGUUUGCCAUGGCCCUUCCUGGCAAGUUAUAUUUACAGGUGAAAAUGCAGGGUAAUAUUUAGAGGUAAGUGGUAUUUAUAAGUACAUACACAGGGAAAUGUUUACAGGCAAGAUACUCACGGGUAAUUAUAGAUCAAUACUUCAAAGUAGAGUAAAUAAGCAGGUAAAAGACCUUUGCCAGUGUGUUACAAAUAAAUAUUUAGAUACAACAGAUGCAUGUAAGUAUGUGUAGGUUAUAGGGAAGAGAUAAAGAUUAGAAUUUAGAUGGAGCGCUUUUAUAGAAGGAGAGGCAAAGUACAGCUGCACCAUUAGCAGCACAUCCAUAACUCAGCCACAUAAGAGCAUCCGAGCGACACUAUCAGAUCAGACCCACAGUCCAUCUCACCCGGCACUGGGCUUCCAGCAGCAGCUCCUGGCAUGGCCACUGAGCAGAGAAACGAAGGUCAGAGAAGUCUUUCUUCUGGCUGGGGAGCACUGAUGCCUCCUCACACGGUGUCCAGGACAGAGGGCAGCGUCCGGAUCUGUUACGCCUUCCCAGCUUCCUCCAACUCAUUGCACCCCUAUCUCUGUGCCGGAUACAGUGCAACCCAUGUUUGACAAAGUUCAGCCAAGCGACGAGCAGCCUGGAAGGCCCUGAGAUCCCACUGAAAUCCCCAUCCAAUUUAUCAAGUCAAAAAUUCAGCCGGGUGGGAGCAAAGUGGGAUGAAGCUCUGAUCAAGGCGGGCGAUUACGGCGCAGCCAGUUACACAAAUCACAGCUCCGAUGCGGGGGGAUGGAGGGGUGGAGAGGAGUUUUUCCAGAGCUGGGCACAGCUCGAGAUAAGAGCCUGUUGUUAGUAAAUAAAAAAUGCCGGGGAAUCGCCCAUCUGAUCGGUGCUCGCUCCCAUCAGGCUCACAGAAGCUGCCAGCAUUAUUUCCAGACCUUUCACUGAGAAUACUAAAGGGCGUUUGGAAAGGCGAG